rnacentral:misc_RNA from 1 species
CGAGACUGAGCUGUUUCUGUGCCUUGAAAUUUAUAAAGAAAGCAAGAAUGAGAUUUCGAUACACCAAACUCUCAAGUCAGUACAAGCCUAAUCAUAGCGACGAGUUAAUACAUUUUAGAAUGUGAUAAGCACGAUAAGCUUGAUUGUUAUUCAAGUAACACCUACCCAGUAAUUGUAAGUUCACCUACAUUGUCAGCAAUUAUUAGAAUUAAGCAUAAAUUUUGAAGAAUAAAAUCCAUUUCUUUUGAACUAAUACAUUAUUUUUCUUUCACAAUGCACAAAUUUAGCUUUGCAGCUUAAAGCCAAUUUCAAAGUCAAAUUCACCAAUGUAAAAGUAAACUAGCAAUCAUGAGAACUAAAGCUCAACUCUCAAAGUUAACCAAAUCAGUUUGGAAACAGAAACCACGAAAACGAAGCCAUUGGGUUCCAAG